rnacentral:rRNA from 1 species
AAAUUGAAGAGUUUGAUCAUGGCUCAGAUUGAACGCUGGCGGCAGGCCUAACACAUGCAAGUCGAACGGUAACAGGAAGCAGCUUGCUGCUUCGCUGACGAGUGGCGGACGGGUGAGUAAUGUCUGGGAAACUGCCUGAUGGAGGGGGAUAACUACUGGAAACGGUGGCUAAUACCGCAUAACGUCGCAAGACCAAAGAGGGGGACCUUCGGGCCUCUUGCCAUCAGAUGUGCCCAGAUGGGAUUAGCUGGUAGGUG